CCCUUAGAUGUUCUGGGCGGCCCGCGCACUACAAUGGCGUGUGCAGCGAGUGCCGAAGUAGAGUUUUCCGAGGUAUUCUUGCAAUGCUCGUUUUGAUGGGGAUAGACCCUUGCAACUGUUGGUUUUGAACGAGGAAUUCCUUGUAAGCAUGGUUUAUCAUCCGACGCUGAAUGCGUCCCUGCCCUUUGUACACACCGCCCGUCGCUCCUACCGAUGAGUCGUCCGGUGAAGUUCGUAGACCUCGUGAUCGCGGAUCACUGGGGGAAGCAAAAUGAACCUUGCGGUUUAGAGGAAGGAGAAGUCGUAACA
rnacentral:rRNA from 1 species